UACGGAGGGUGCGAGCGUUGUCCGGAAUCACUGGGCGUAAAGGGCGCGUAGGCGGCUUGAUAAGUAGGGGGUGAAAUCCUGCGGCUUAACCGCAGGGCUGCCUUCUAAACUGUCAGGCUUGAGCACAGUAGAGGCAGGUGGAAUUCCCGGUGUAGCGGUGGAAUGCGUAGAGAUCGGGAAGAACAUCGGUGGCGAAGGCGGCCUGCUGGGCUGUAACUGACGCUGAGGAGCGAAAGCGUGGGGAGCGAACAGG
rnacentral:rRNA from 1 species